UACGUAGGCAGCAAGCGUUGUUCGGAGUUACUGGGCGUAAAGGGUGCGUAGGUGGGUUGGUAAGUCAGUGGUGAAAUACUUUCGCUUAACGAAGGAACUGCCAUUGAUACUACCGGUCUUGAAUACAGUGGAGGUAAGCGGAAUGCGUCAUGUAGCGGUGAAAUGCUUAGAUAUGACGCAGAACACCAAUUGCGAAGGCAGCUUGCUACACUGUUAUUGACACUGAGGCACGAAAGCGUGGGGAUCAAACAGG
rnacentral:rRNA from 1 species